rnacentral:rRNA from 1 species
UACGUAGGGGGCAAGCGUUGUCCGGAAUCAUUGGGCGUAAAGGGCGUGUAGGCGGCUCGGUAAGUCCGCUCUGAAAGCCCGGGGCUCAACCCCGGGAGGCGGGCGGAUACUGUCGGGCUAGAGUCCGGAAGAGGCGAGUGGAAUUCCUGGUGUAGCGGUGAAAUGUGUAGAUAUAUGGAAGAACAUCAAUAACGGCGAAGGCAGUUAACUAUUCUGUCACUGACGUUGAGGCACGAAAGCGUGGGGAGCAAAAAGG